rnacentral:rRNA from 1 species
UACGAAGGGGGCUAGCGUUGCUCGGAAUCACUGGGCGUAAAGGGUGCGUAGGCGGGUCUUUAAGUCAGGGGUGAAAUCCUGGAGCUCAACUCCAGAACUGCCUUUGAUACUGAAGAUCUUGAGUUCGGGAGAGGUGAGUGGAACUGCGAGUGUAGAGGUGAAAUUCGUAGAUAUUCGCAAGAACACCAGUGGCGAAGGCGGACUCACUGGCCCGAUACUGACGCUGAGGCACGAAAGCGUGGGGAG